rnacentral:rRNA from 1 species
CCUACGGGGUGCACCAGUGGGGAAUAUUGCACAAUGGGCGCAAGCCUGAUGCAGCCAUGCCGCGUGUAUGGAGAAGGCCUUCGGGUUGUAAAGUACUUUCAGUGGGGAGGAAGGCGAUAAGGUUAAUAACCUUGUCGAUUGACGUUACCCGCAGAAGAAGCACCGGCUAACUCCGUGCCAGCAGCCGCGGUAAUACGGAGGGUGCAAGCGUUAAUCGGAAUUACUGGGCGUAAAGCGCACGCAGGCGGUCUGUCAAGUCGGAUGUGAAAUCCCCGGGCUCAACCUGGGAACUGCAUUCGAAACUGGCAAGCUUGAGUCUCGUAGAGGGGGGUAGAAUUCCAGGUGUAGCGGUGAAAUGCGUAGAGAUCUGGAGGAAUACCGGUGGCGAAGGCGGCCCCCUGGACGAAGACUGACGCUCAGGUGCGAAAGCGUGGGGAGCAAACAGGAUUAGAUACCCCAGUAGUC